rnacentral:misc_RNA from 1 species
AUCCUGACUGAUUUUAAAAAUAACUUUUUUAACCUUCCUGACCAUAUUGCAAUGUUGGAUAAAAUAUUACCGUACCGGAUUUAUCCGAAUGCUUGAAUGGCUUGAGAUUUCCCUAUGUGAGUACUAUCUUAAAGAAAAAAAAAAAAAAAAAAAAAGGAAAGGAAAGGAAAAAGAGAAAAACAAAGAGAUUAUUUUCUUCAGUCCUUAAAAAGUCUAUGGUGAAACAGUAAACGAAUUUGGGAGAUUUAUUAGCGAAUUUUUUUCCAUUCCUGCGAGUAACUGAUGUGUUCCAUUUUAUAUACUUGAUGAGAGAGCGUCUAAAAAUUUUAUACUGCUUUUCUGAAUUUACAUAGACUAAUAAGAAAACCCGCACUAGAUAGGAAGAUUGACUAAAGAAGAAAGGAACAAAAUUUACGACUUAAAUCCAGUGAUCUGACAAAAUCUUCUGCAUAUUGCCUAAAUGUGAUGAUUUUUCGUUUAAUUUCCAGAAAUAACAUUGUUUUUAUUUAUGAUUUAAUCUUAUUGUCACGUUCAUUUGUUGUUUUCUAGUUUCAUGUAGAUCGUCGUCUCUUUAAGCUCACUUGACUAUUUGGGGAAACCUGGGUAAACGAGAGAAAGCAUCGCUCUACAAAAAUAGAUUUGCUAAAAUAUAAAUUGGUUUAUUCAUAGAAAACUUACAUAGAUUAGUAACAAGUACAGAAAUCUAAAACAAACUCUAUCGUAAGCUUAUUCGAAGGUUAUAAAUGUGGAUGAUGGGUGAAUAAUUGAAUAAAAUGAAUGUACACAAGGUUUUCUAUACGCAACGGUGUUGUAUGGUAUUAAAAAAAAAAG